rnacentral:snRNA from 1 species
GGAUGUGAGAACAAUCUGGCUGUGACAUUUGUCACCCUAUUGAUCACCAGGUUUAAUCAGCUGAUCUGGGUGGCUAGGUGGGUGUCCCUUUCCUCCCUCACCCUUCUAUGUGCAUCCCUCCUGACGCUAUUUACUUGGUCUAAGAGGACAACCUUCCUCUAGUAGAGGAGGACCAGUCUUUGGUCAAUGGUAUACCAGUAGCUGUGCUCCCCUACUAGAACCUCUAAACAAGCUCUCAAGAAUGUGUCUAGGUUUGUACCUUGUGCUGGCCUGGACUUAUCACCUUCUUGCUGGUAUUAUAGGCAUACACCAUCAUGCCUGUAAUU